rnacentral:rRNA from 1 species
CAGCCGCCGCGGGAAUACGUAGGUGGCAAGCGUUGUCCGGAAUUAUUGGGCGUAAAGCGCGCGCAGGCGGAUCAGUUAGUCUGUCUUAAAAGUUCGGGGCUUAACCCCGUGAUGGGAUGGAAACUGCUGAUCUAGAGUAUCGGAGAGGAAAGUGGAAUUCCUAGUGUAGCGGUGAAAUGCGUAGAUAUUAGGAAGAACACCAGUGGCGAAGGCGACUUUCUGGACGAAAACUGACGCUGAGGCGCGAAAGCCAGGGGAGCGAACGGGAUUAGAGACCCCAGUAGUCCCUGUCUCUUAUACA